rnacentral:rRNA from 1 species
UACGGGGGGGGCAAGCGUUGUUCGGAAUUACUGGGCGUAAAGGGCUCGUAGGUGGCCAACUAAGUCAGACGUGAAAUCCCUCGGCUUAACCGGGGAACUGCGUCUGAUACUGGAUGGCUCGAGUUUGGGAGAGGGAUGCGGAAUUCCAGGUGUAGCGGUGAAAUGCGUAGAUAUCUGGAGGAACACCGGUGGCGAAGGCGGCAUCCUGGACCAACACUGACACUGAGGAGCGAAAGCGUGGGGAGCGAACAGG